AACAAAUGCAAGUUCGAGCGGUAACAGAAAAGUAGCUUUGCUACUUUGCUGACGAGCGGCGGACGGGUGAGUAAUGCUUGGGAACAUGCCUUGAGGUGGGGGACAACAGUUGGAAACGACUGCUAAUACCGCAUAAUGUCUACGGACCAAAGAGGGCUUCGGCUCUCGCCUUUAGAUUGGCCCAAGUGGGAUUAGCUAGUUGGUGAGGUAAUGGCUCACCAAGGCGACGAUCCCUAGCUGGUUUGAGAGGAUGAUCAGCCACACUGGGACUGAGACACGGCCCAGACUCCUACGGGAGGCAGCAGUGGGGAAUAUUGCACAAUGGGCGCAAGCCUGAUGCAGCCAUGCCGCGUGUGUGAAGAAGGCCUUCGGGUUGUAAAGCACUUUCAGUCAGGAGGAAAGGUUAGUAGUUAAUACCUGCUAGCUGUGACGUUACUGACAGAAGAAGCACCGGCUAACUCCGUGCCAGCAGCCGCGGUAAUACGGAGGGUGCGAGCGUUAAUCGGAAUUACUGGGCGUAAAGCGUACGCAGGCGGUUUGUUAAGCGAGAUGUGAAAGCCCCGGGCUCAACCUGGGAACUGCAUUUCGAACUGGCAAACUAGAGUGUGAUAGAGGGGUGGUAGAAUUUCAGGUGUAGCGGUGAAAUGCGUAGAGAUCUGAAGGAAUACCGAUGGCGAAGGCAGCCACCCUGGGUCAACACUGACGCUCAUGUACGAAAAGCGUGGGGAGCAAACGGGAUUAAAUACCCCCGGUAGUCCACGCCGUAAACGAUGUCUACUAGAAGCUCGGAGCCUCGGUUUCUGUUUUUCAAAGCUAACGCAUUAAGUAAACCGGCCUGGGGGAGUAC
rnacentral:rRNA from 1 species